GGUUAAGCGACUAAGCGUACACGGUGGAUGCCCUGGCAGUCAGAGGCGAUGAAGGACGUGCUAAUCUGCGAUAAGCGUCGGUAAGGUGAUAUGAACCGUUAUAACCGGCGAUUUCCGAAUGGGGAAACCCAGUGUGAUUCGUCACACUAUCAUUAACUGAAUCCAUAGGUUAAUGAGGCGAACCGGGGGAACUGAAACAUCUAAGUACCCCGAGGAAAAGAAAUCAACCGAGAUUCCCCCAGUAGCGGCGAGCGAACGGGGAGCAGCCCAGAGCCUGAAUCAGUGUGUGUGUUAGUGGAAGCGUCUGGAAAGGCGCGCGAUACAGGGUGACAGCCCCGUACACAAAAAUGCACAUACUGUGAGCUCGAUGAGUAGGGCGGGACACGUGGUAUCCUGUCUGAAUAUGGGGGGACCAUCCUCCAAGGCUAAAUACUCCUGACUGACCGAUAGUGAACCAGUACCGUGAGGGAAAGGCGAAAAGAACCCCGGCGAGGGGAGUGAAAAAGAACCUGAAACCGUGUACGUACAAGCAGUGGGAGCCUCUUUUAUGGGGUGACUGCGUACCUUUUGUAUAAUGGGUCAGCGACUUAUAUUCUGUAGCAAGGUUAACCGAAUAGGGGAGCCGAAGGGAAACCGAGUCUUAACCGGGCGUUAAGUUGCAGGGUAUAGACCCGAAACCCGGUGAUCUAGCCAUGGGCAGGUUGAAGGUUGGGUAACACUAACUGGAGGACCGAACCGACUAAUGUUGAAAAAUUAGCGGAUGACUUGUGGCUGGGGGUGAAAGGCCAAUCAAACCGGGAGAUAGCUGGUUCUCCCCGAAAGCUAUUUAGGUAGCGCCUCGUGAAUUCAUCUCCGGGGGUAGAGCACUGUUUCGGCAAGGGGGUCAUCCCGACUUACCAACCCGAUGCAAACUGCGAAUACCGGAGAAUGUUAUCACGGGAGACACACGGCGGGUGCUAACGUCCGUCGUGAAGAGGGAAACAACCCAGACCGCCAGCUAAGGUCCCAAAGUCAUGGUUAAGUGGGAAACGAUGUGGGAAGGCCCAGACAGCCAGGAUGUUGGCUUAGAAGCAGCCAUCAUUUAAAGAAAGCGUAAUAGCUCACUGGUCGAGUCGGCCUGCGCGGAAGAUGUAACGGGGCUAAACCAUGCACCGAAGCUGCGGCAGCGACACUGUGUGUUGUUGGGUAGGGGAGCGUUCUGUAAGCCUGUGAAGGUGUACUGUGAGGUAUGCUGGAGGUAUCAGAAGUGCGAAUGCUGACAUAAGUAACGAUAAAGCGGGUGAAAAGCCCGCUCGCCGGAAGACCAAGGGUUCCUGUCCAACGUUAAUCGGGGCAGGGUGAGUCGACCCCUAAGGCGAGGCCGAAAGGCGUAGUCGAUGGGAAACAGGUUAAUAUUCCUGUACUUGGUGUUACUGCGAAGGGGGGACGGAGAAGGCUAUGUUGGCCGGGCGACGGUUGUCCCGGUUUAAGCGUGUAGGCUGGUUUUCCAGGCAAAUCCGGAAAAUCAAGGCUGAGGCGUGAUGACGAGGCACUACGGUGCUGAAGCAACAAAUGCCCUGCUUCCAGGAAAAGCCUCUAAGCAUCAGGUAACAUCAAAUCGUACCCCAAACCGACACAGGUGGUCAGGUAGAGAAUACCAAGGCGCUUGAGAGAACUCGGGUGAAGGAACUAGGCAAAAUGGUGCCGUAACUUCGGGAGAAGGCACGCUGAUAUGUAGGUGAAGUCCCUCGCGGAUGGAGCUGAAAUCAGUCGAAGAUACCAGCUGGCUGCAACUGUUUAUUAAAAACACAGCACUGUGCAAACACGAAAGUGGACGUAUACGGUGUGACGCCUGCCCGGUGCCGGAAGGUUAAUUGAUGGGGUCAGCGCAAGCGAAGCUCUUGAUCGAAGCCCCGGUAAACGGCGGCCGUAACUAUAACGGUCCUAAGGUAGCGAAAUUCCUUGUCGGGUAAGUUCCGACCUGCACGAAUGGCGUAAUGAUGGCCAGGCUGUCUCCACCCGAGACUCAGUGAAAUUGAACUCGCUGUGAAGAUGCAGUGUACCCGCGGCAAGACGGAAAGACCCCGUGAACCUUUACUAUAGCUUGACACUGAACAUUGAGCCUUGAUGUGUAGGAUAGGUGGGAGGCUUUGAAGUGUGGACGCCAGUCUGCAUGGAGCCGACCUUGAAAUACCACCCUUUAAUGUUUGAUGUUCUAACGUGGACCCGUGAUCCGGGUUGCGGACAGUGUCUGGUGGGUAGUUUGACUGGGGCGGUCUCCUCCUAAAGAGUAACGGAGGAGCACGAAGGUUGGCUAAUCCUGGUCGGACAUCAGGAGGUUAGUGCAAUGGCAUAAGCCAGCUUGACUGCGAGCGUGACGGCGCGAGCAGGUGCGAAAAGCAGGUCAUAGUGAUCCGGUGGUUCUGAAUGGAAGGGCCAUCGCUCAACGGAUAAAAGGUACUCCGGGGAUAACAGGCUGAUACCGCCCAAGAGUUCAUAUCGACGGCGGUGUUUGGCACCUCGAUGUCGGCUCAUCACAUCCUCGGGGCUGAAGUAGGUCCCAAGGGUAUGGCUGUUCGCCAUUUAAAGUGGUACGCGAGCUGGGUUUAGAACGUCGUGAGACAGUUCGGUCCCUAUCUGCCGUGGGCGCUGGAGAACUGAGGGGGGCUGCUCCUAGUACGAGAGGACCGGAGUGGACGCAUCACUGGUGUUCGGGUUGUCAUGCCAAUGGCACUGCCCGGUAGCUAAAUGCGGAAGAGAUAAGUGCUGAAAGCAUCUAAGCACGAAACUUGCCCCGAGAUGAGUUCUCCCUGACCCUUUAAGGGUCCUGAAGGAACGUUGAAGACGACGACGUUGAUAGGCCGGGUGUGUAAGCGCAGCGAUGCGUUGAGCUAACCGGUACUAAUGAACCGUGAGGCUUAACCUU
rnacentral:rRNA from 1 species